GUUUCUGUUCCUUGUUCUCCUGACAUGAUUAUCUAACUUCUUCUCUAAGUGCGGUGACAAAGCAAAGUUUUCUUUCUUUCUUUUUUUUUUUUUUUUAAAGAGGUACCUAUGUGCAAGUUGAAGGUGCUGUUUAUGGUUUUUGUAACCGGGUGCUUCAGGAUAAGCAAGCGUGCAAUGUUCACCAGGAAACCAUUCCAGGGAAAUGUUAUCAGUGGUGAGGAAUUGAAGCUCCCUGUUCAUUUUACACUUUUACCACCCAUUCUUUUGAAGGAGAUCUGUGAGUACCAUCCUUCCCUCUGUGGAGCAUGUACCUCUUCCAUAGAUCUUUCCUUCCUUGAGUUUGAUGGAAGUAAGAGAUCCAGCCAAGUUCAGCAGACAGCUAAAUUGUAUCAUUUAGUAAUCAAACUUGCCUUCAUUUAAAGGAAGACUUGAUUUAUUUAUCAGCAGACUUGAUUCUGGAUAAACUUUGGAUAUUUAUAAAAAUCAAGCCCUCCCUUAAAAAAAGAGAAUUUGCAACAUUUGCAUUUUAAAAAAUGAAGAAGGCUUUGAUGACAGUUCCAUACAUAAGAAAAUCUCUUGAGAAAUCAAUAGAAUCAACGGGAAAUUCUCCACAGUCACCGAGUGGAAGCGGACAGCACUUACUAGCUCGAGUUUGCAUAUUUUGAAUGAAUGAUUCUUUGAUGUUUACGUGUUAUUCUAGGCAGAUUUACUGCCGUGAAGUAACAACUGGAAGAAUUCUCUUUUGUGCAUGUGUGCAUGUGAGUAGGUGUGUUUCUUUUACUUUUUUCUCUCCUACUUCUUGGCAUGAAGAGGAGAAUAGCCAGUUCAGGCAACAUCCUCCGAGAGCACAAAAUUCAUUUUAAGAAAAUAAAGAAGGAAAGCAAGAGCAAAAAGGAGAGAAAGAGAAAUCAUCAAAAUGAGGAAGUGAUCCCUCUAAUUAUCAGAAACAGGAGCAAAGUAACAAUGGCUGAAAUUCACCUCCCCAUGGGGGAAUGAAUCAUCAGAAUAACCGGUGGAAAACAAGGUUGUGUAACCUUGACCAGCGUGUGUCACCGGCUGGUGGAAUUUUUAGAAAGACAGCAGUUUGGGUUCAUCACUGUGGUUCGUGAUUGCACACACCUGUUUGGGGCAUGGAUUUUGCAACCCCCCAAAAAGGGGAAACUGAACUUACUGCUUCUCCUGAGCUGUGUAAAAAAGCAGAAAACCACAGCUGCUCUAGCAGUUAACAGAUAUCAGUAAAACACCCAUGUUACAUAAUUAAGGAUAACGUUCCUGAAGCAUAUGGGCCAAAGGUAUUAUACUCUCAUUAAAACUUUAGGUAGCAGACAAUUUACCAUAUUCAUAUACAUUCCAAAGGUUGGAGUGUAUAAUAGAUGCCUGUAAUUAGGCAUGUUCUAAACAGUUUAUUAAAUAAUACAUGAAGGAAAUGGUUGAUGAAAUAUAGACAGUUCUGAAGUUUGCAUCAAAAUGACAAGGAGGCAUCGGGAUGAGACAUAAAAGAUUUCUUCUUAUUGACAUGGCAACUACUCACUUUAAGCACCUUAAGUAAGACUGGAAGAGGUUUCAUUUGUCAGCCCAGCUUGUCAGUGAUCUUACAGAAAGAAGAAUUGGUGACUAUAUUUUUUCUUUUCUUUUUAGAUACAUUUUAUGCGGCAAUCUUCCUUGAACUGCUAAUCCUGAGGAUUAAGUGCUUUUGACCACAGCAAAACAAAAAUCUCAUGCACAUUAUUCUCUCAGGAAAAAUCAGACUGGUAGGGAAUAUUAAGCCAAGCAUGGCCUAAAUCAACACUGAAAAAUAUUACACCUUUGCCAAGAGGUGCUGUCAUUUAUAAGUUGGAUAGGAAUAAAUAAGAGAAAUUUCUUGUGAGAAUCACCAAGGCAGGUGUUUGCUCCCUGGGGAAGUGGUAGGAAACAUGCCCCAGAGACGAUGUUAGAUGCAGGAAAGAAAUUCUUUCAGUUCUGCAUCUCUGUGUGAUGUUCAAGCCAGGUGGAUGAUUCUUACCUGAACGGAGGAAUGUGUAAACUGUGGAAAGUGUGGUUGGAUGAUCCCAGGAAGCCUCCGAGGGAACAAUGACCAUUCUCUUAAACUGUUAAAGUCAUCUAGAUAUUUUGUUCCCCAAAUAUACACAAAUAAGAAACCUGGUGAUAGAACAAAUAUGGUAUUUGGAAUGCCUUCUAGAACACACUUCAGGGAACUGGCAGAGCUGACAUAGCUUUUACUGAUUUGUCUGCCUCCUAGGUGAACGGGGCUGCCAGUCUGGCAGUUUGCUCUGGCAAUAAAUCACGAGUAGACAUUUUAUUUAAAAAUUGGCACUGGCUUGGGGGAGGUAAGGGAUUGUCAAUUUGUUUUUAUUUUGAGGCCGGGCACAGUCAUAACAUACACAGGCCACCUGGAAACUUCGGCCUUCAUGGAGAAGCAUGGCUCAGGUUUGUGGCUGUAUUUUUGCAUGCUUGGAGAGUGUAGAGCUAAAUUAGAGUUCAAGGACUCCUGACCAGGAAGACCCUGGCAUACUGGUACAGCCUGGAGGCAUCUCUGUUGGAAAACAACUUGGUUCUGGAAUUGUGAUGUUGAAUGGGCAUCAUAAAUAUGAUAUAGGAGAGAAUAUUUGGUGGACUUCUCUUUUAUUGGUGGGACCCACAUAGCCCGUUCAUAACAUACAACUGGUGCACUCCAAAAAUCACACCAAAGCUAAAAAACUGUGUAAAGCCUAUGUGCCUGUAUUAUCUCUCUCUCUUCCUCUCUCUCUCUUGCUCUCUGUCCUCAAAAUUCACUUUCAAAUUUGUGAUAAAUUAUCUCAUCAUUUUAAGUAAAAUUAUGUUGAAGUUAGCAAAAAUAAUAUGAGAAAUAAUGAAUAUUCUUUCUUUGAAAGCUAGUAUAACUAUAAAAUGGUAAUUCACCCUGCCCUGGGUUCAGAAGGCAGCAUCCCUUAAAAAUGAUGGUAAGAUAGGAAGAAGAAACAGUUUAUCCUGGACCCCUAUAACCAUUUCAACAAAAAUAGUUGAGAUGAAUUCCUUUACGUUCAUUUGUUUCCUGGUUCUCUGAAUAUUCUGCAAACCUCAUAACAUCUCUGAACAAAGUUUUAGGUUUUCCUACUUUGAAAAUAUGAAUUAUUUUGUUACAAAAGUUAUAUCACACGUACUCCGACUUACCACCCCACCAGAUUUUGAUUUCUGCUUACACAUAUUCAUAAAUUGUAAAGAUACUUUAUAUAGUUACCAUACAAACUAUUAGAAUGAGUAUUUUUAGAAUAGAGAUACACUUAUCUAAGCAUGGCCUCAUGAAUGACUGCAUUUAUUUCCUUUUAAAAAAUACCCAAUUUGCUCUUGAUGCUACAAAUUUUUGAACUGGAUUCAACUUGUUCUUCAGAGAUGUCCCUCCCAAGAUUUUGUGUAUAUAAAUUUGAUGAGAUAAUAUAUCAAAAAAAGUAGGAAAAAAUACACACUCAUUUUCUUGCUUGGUGAAAUCAUUUGGAGUGAUAUAAAUGUCUACAGCAAACAAGAGAACUAUCCCAACAUUGCCUUUAACCAGUUGGCAACAUUCUGGUGUGUAUUCAGUACAUGGAUAUAUUUGAGGAUAUAUGGCAUUAAUUUCUCAUAAAGAUUUGAAGGAUUGAAUAUCUGACUUGAUAGGAUUUUCUUUAUUGUAAGACAUGUGAGACCCUUUACCAAGUAUUUAUAAAAGUCUCGUUAUGAAUGCAAUGGAGUCUGCACUGUAGUGCUUCAAAAGAUGCUUAGAAAUGAGAAUAUUCAUAAAAUAAUACAAAAGAAAAAAGGAGAAAUAUAUGUAAAGCAAGCACUUGAGAAAAAGCCCAUAAUUAUUGCAGUUUGAGCAUAUCCAAUACCUGUACUUAAUGUCACAUACACAAAUCUUUACUCAACAAGAUCAAGAUGCACCAUACACUGUGGAUGAGCUAAUGUGUUGAAAUAUCUUGGGUAGUCUCCAAAAUAGUGCAGGUAAUUAGCAAGUGUUUAUAUUUUUCAUUUAAAUUUGCCCACAGGUACUGUUUUGGAAACAGUAACAUAAAGAUUUUUAUCUUGGCAUGUGUUUCUAACAUUUGUCUGGAUUUAAUAUACACAUUAAUUUGAAUUGAAUUUUUUUGAUCUACAUUUUUCAUACUUUAUGACCUUAAGUGCCAAUAUGUGGAUAUUUACAGGGUUCUGGAGUUUUCCAAUCAACCUGUUAAUUUCAAGAUAUUAAGUUUCUAGUGUUUUUCUAGUGUUUACCUUUUCCCCCUCCAUAGUCAGAAUUGAAAUGCAGCACUAAAAAUUGUGUGUGUGUGUGUGUGUGAGGAAAAGUGUUAAGCCACCUCUCACUUUUCGGAUUCAGAGUUCUAAUCUUAUUUUAACCAUUUAAUUUUUUUAAAAAACCUUUUUUUCAUGCUGAUGUUUCACACUGGACAUCAUAAUUUCUUUAACAAAGUGACAUUUAAAGAUGAUUCAGGGGGGAAUAUGUUUGUAAUACAUUUUUAAGAUUUGUUAUUUUUCAAGGAAAGUAAAUGUCGCUAACAGUUAUGGAAUUCUUCACACACAAAGUGCACAUCCAUGCACAUACUUGCUCGCACUUGCUCACUCGCUAACUCGAACAAAAAUAGUGUCUGAGGGAAAGAACUGCAAGGCUGGUGCCAACUUCCCCAACAUACCCAAGCAUUUCUUUAUUUAGAACCUCCCAUGUGCUAUUUUUUUUUAAAUCUCUGGAAUCUCAGGGAUUUUCCCAUCCCUCUACAUGCUUAAGACAUUUCAGGGCAUGGUAACCCCCUGUUGGAAUCCUCUAAGUCUUCUGUUUUAUUUUUAUAAUGUGGGCUGCACUAGUGUACGGGAAGUGACUGUACCUACGACAGAGGAGCAUGAGAUUCCAGUGUGUACUGUGAGAUCUCUGAAGACCGCGGUUGGAGAAGGCAACUCUGUGGCUACCACAGCCUCCUUUUAAGGCAUCCUAGAAAAUCAAGAGAUUUUGAAUUAAGAGCUUUGUGAGAAGGUGAGGAGCACCCUGUGUGGCAGCAAUGGUAGUAUAACUCUCAGUUGCUCACACGUAACAGUUGAUCUUUGCCAAAAGUCUAACAUGGAAUGUUGGACCUUUUUGUGCUCCUCAAAUUAGAAUAGCACUGAAUUUUGGUGAUCCAUUUGCCUUCCACACUGGCAAUGGCAAUUUGGCUCUUUUUUAGGCCAGACUGUGAUAAUCUCCGAGGCAGUUUUCCUCGUAUUGUCCCUCUGCAUCAUAUGUGGGAGACUAUUAAUAUAUAUUUAAAAAUCAUAUCAUAUUUACAUAUUGAGUUUGUGAUACAAACGCUACUGCCUUUACAGCAAAGCACAAUGUGCGACUGCAGAAAACUCCUUUUCACUUAUGAACGUCUGAGUCUGAGAUUCACACAAGCCACACUUUUGUUUGAUUCCAAAAUGUGGGUGCCAAAUGAAUCUACUGCACUAGGCUUAUGAACACUACCGCAACUGUGCAGCCACUAUUUCUCUACUGGGAGAAUUGUUUCAGCAGAUAAACCAUCUGGCUUGAAACACAGCCCUCUUUGAAAAUAUUCCCCAUUAUGUUAGCUCUGAAACAAUGUGUACAACUAUGCUCCAGCCGAGGACAUGGUUAACAGAAUUUCAAUGUCAAACAAUAUCUUCUCUGUAAUCUUCUGCUAAAUGCAGAAAAAAGAAGUAAUCAAAAUGCAAGAUUUUAAUUUUUAAAGGGUCAUUCUGUGUGGUGUACAAGAUGAAAAUCCAGAAAAAUUUUUAGGAAGAAGCUGUAAUAGAGAGUGUUUAAUAUAGUAACUUUUCUUCUUUAAGAAGAAAUGUGGCUCCUUUGUUGUAGAUAUCAUGAAUGUAGUGAAUUAAUGCUUUGUGUCAUUACUAUCCUUUCUGCUAAGUGUUUUUGAGCACAAAUUGAAUCUAUAUGGUAGGCGAUCGUUGGAGAACGGUAUUUAUAGCUGGAUUCUAAAGUGAACUUAUGUCACUCAGCAAUUUAUGAGUCAGAAACACUAUGGAAAAACUAAAACAAAUGAUAUUAGGAGGAAGACCUACCUUGCUGUGGGAACAACUAGAGCAAGCUUAAUAGAACAGGUUUUAAGAAUCCAUUCUUAGCAAUAUUUUUCUUUUUUGGUACUGAGAAUUGAACUCAGGACCUUGCGCUUGCCGGGCAGGCACCUGUACCACUAAGCUAUGGUCCUAGCCUGUGGUUUUAAGAAUUCAGAACAACAUUACUGUUAUGGAGGCAAGCUAAAGGGAAAAGGGGAAUUAAAAGUAUAUUAUUUAUUUAUUUGUGGUUUGAUUUUUUUCCGGUACCAGGAAUCGAACUCACAACCUUGUGCUUGCCAGGCAGGCGCUGCGAUGCUGAGCUAAAUCCUCAGCCCUAAAAGUAUGUUAUUUAGAUUUGAAACUAGUGUGUUAUCAAGAAAGAACACUUGACUGAUGUAAGAAAGUUAUAAAAUAUCAUUGAACCCAUCUGAGUCUAUCAGACCAGAAAAAUCUACAUUUGGGAUAUCAGUUGGGGUGUCUGUAGAAUCAGCAUGUCCCUGAAGUGAAGUUAAUUUUGGGCUAACUCCUCCUAAUUAUUACAAAGCCUGUAGGAUGAGAACAAUUUUAAGGAACAGACCUGCUUGGUCAGGUCUCAACUGAUGAGAAAGACUGGUUCCAUUAGAUGAUAAUUCCCAUGAAGUACAAAUAAAGUGGAAUAUCGAUAAGGUAUACUGAUUCCCAACCCCAAACUGCUUUGUACAUCAAAGACCAAAAAUUUUUUUUUUUGUUUCAUUUUAAUUUUUACUAAAUGGAAUUUAGUCCUGUUAUUAGUCUUUCUAGAUCCUUCCUUCUCCACUGUGGCAUUAGCUGUGGAAAUAUACAUCUAUCAACAAUUGUCUCAGCUUUAACUUGUAAGGAACCACGCUGCUUCUUUUUUUUCUAGCACUUUUCCAGAUGAAAGAACUAAUGUCAUUAGAGUUAAAUCAUGUUUCCUUUCAUUUUACACUUUUAUUGUGUUGGAUAUCCAAGUACUGGUCAAAAUGAAAGACUUUGUCUCGCACACUGUAAUCUCUAAGUAAUGAUUUCUGAAAAAGAAAAAACGCUGCUGAGUCACAUUAAUCCACCAAAAGACUCAAGAGGAUCCUCAGGAAGGACUAAUUUACAAGACCUUGUAAAUAUAGGCCAGGGCUGAGGUCUGCCCCUGGGUCAGAGGAAGGCUACUUUGAGGGUUUAGAACAGCAAAGAUGGAGGAACAUUUAGUCCUCAUGAUCUAAGUGUUAUGUAUUUAGUAAAAUGGAAUAUAUAUAUAUAUAUAUAUAUGUAAUCUCCAUAUUUAUUUCUCACAAUUAGUUUAGAAAAAUGAACAAUUGCCCAUCAAUGUUGGGACCAAUAUCACUUUUGCCUUACAGAAGAGAAUAGACAGAAAUGUGGUCAAGUCUGAUUCUAUCACUGUUUGCUUAUACAUGGAUUCUCUUUCCACCUGGAAAAUAUACCACGCAUUCCUGGGAGCACUAGGAUUUUCUCAGUGUCUUCAGGACCACUAGCUGAGCAGAUGCUCUAUUAACUUAUACUGUGUCUAUUUUUAUGACUAAGAAAUGAACUCUAGAUUCAGUCUUUAGCAGGAAAAGAACAAUCAGCAAGUUAACAUGCUGGACUUCUACGAAGUCUACACUGGUGAAGGUUAAUUAUCACUCCUAUAUUGCAAGGUCUGCUGCUGCAAGGAGAGUACUUAGCUUGUGAGCUUGUGUUUACUUUCCACAAUUUUUUCUCCUCAGCAGUGACUAAAACACAGUGACAUUUGGCAGUUUCUCUUGUUGAAGAGAAAACUGAGGCAUUGUUAAACUUUAACAGGAUACUAUAUUUGGUUAUUUUCAGCUCUUAAUCCUCCUGCAAUUUUAUAGAUUGUGUUGUAUCUGUGUUGUUUGUGUAUGUGAGUGUGUUUGUGUGUGGCCACAGCUAAAUAGCCAGAGUUUUUUUUUCAGGAGGGGGUCUUUUUCUUGAGACAGGGUCUCACUCUGCAGUUCAGGCUGGCCUUGAACUCACUUUUUAGCCCAGACUGGUCUUGAACUCUCAAUUAUCCUCCUGCCUCAGCCUCCCGAUGUAGGAGCAUGGCCACCGAACCCGGCAAUGGCCACAGUUUUAAAGUUUCACUAGAUUCAUUUAGAUGUGGAUAUAGGAUGAAUCUUUAGUCUUGCAAAGAUAAAAUACAAGUAAUUUUCACUGUAAAACAGAUAGUUUUGUGACUUGUCAGGAGGUGAUCUGAAUUUGAUAAAGGCAAUUAUUUGAUGCUCUCUACAUAAAAGUGAAGUUCUCUGUGUGUUUAGUUAGCAUUUUCGGUGAAGAAGUUUUAGAAUGGAAAAGACAGUUAUGCUGAUCAUAGUUCCACAAAUGAGAGUCUGAGGAAAUCCAGGGAGCCCUUGCCCCCGAGAACUAGGUAAGAAGGACGAGGGUGAAUGAUUUGCCCUUUUUCUACCUUGUGCAUUUCUUCAGGUAAAUUGUGUUUCUCAACCCGCUUAAGCCUGACAAAGAAGUCACUGUAGCAGAUUCAGGUAGGUUCUCUCCCUGCCUUAAAUGGAAUGUGAAACACAAUAAUCCAAAGUAGAAUUAUAAUCUGAGGGUCAUUGCUGUUUAUUCAAGUAGGUUAAGCCAUAGUUGAAGUUUAUAAGAAACAAGAAAUGAAAGCUAGCUUUACUAAAUGUGCCAAGGUGUCAGUGUUGAGGGCAGGUAAGGUAGAUUAAUAACAGGCCACUCCUAAGAAGGUUUGGGCUCUUACUGUCAGAGGGUAAUAAUUAAUGAUCAAGUGUUAAUGGAGAUACUGGGCUGUUGAUGUCAUUAAUUCAGCUCAGUGGAGCCAGUUCUGCCCAGGACCUGCCACAGCUGUCACUGCAUUUGCUUAAUUAUUCCAGUGCCUUCCGGCUCUUUUUCUUUCAUUUUUUUCCCUUUACCCUUUUUUUCCCUUCUCAACUAUAGGACAUUAUGUUUUCACUGAUGCAGAAUUAUGAAGAGCGUCUUGCUCUCUGGGCAGUGCCUGGCCUAAAAUACGUGAAAAUCCAAAGGUCACAAAGGAGACCAUAACUUGUUUCUUAGAUGAAAAGAUGGCAAAUGCUGAAGAAAGGCCAUCUUUAAAUAGCCCGAUUGUGCUAAUAUAAUUUUGGGGUCCUUGAAGGAUUUAGAUGUUGAAAGUGAACUCUGGGCUGUGUAAAAUGUCAAAGUGCUCACCCUUUCCUGCAAUCAAACAAAGAGAAUGCAGAAAAUAUAGCGCAAGAGUGUUGGUAAAACAUAAGGCCGGACAAUCAUCUGUGCAACAGGAAACCAAAAAGUUAGCUUUACUGGGCAAAUCGAGGCAAAGAGAAAUAUCGUGAAGGAAAUGCCACUAUUAAAAUUCAGCCGUAGGAGUGUGUGAAUUUGCCUGCUAUGCUUACAGAGCCUUCUUGCAUUUCUUUAGCUUUGUAUCUCUUUUAUCUCUCACAUUGCCUCAAGUGUAAGAAAAACCAUCCUUUCCCUUUCUAAAUACAGUUUGGAUUUUUCUCCCCUGGCCUGUCCUAACAAUCCCUACAUUUCUUGUUUACCUGUUUCCUAAUUGGAACAGAGCAUUCAUUUCGCUUUUGAAAGACACCCACCUUUCAAGUUGUAUCAUUUUAAAAAAAAUUGUUCUUUGUUUUUCAGGUCUAUAUUUCUAGUUCUGAUGAGUCAAACUAGUCCAAUGUGUCUUGAGCUUCCAGACGAGAAUGCUCUUGACUCACUUCCAAACUGAAAUGCUUCGAAAAUGUGAGGCACUACAACAAUUUUAAAUCUCUCUCUACAAUGCACAUGGCAAUUUAAAAUAAUUGAAACUCUUCAAAUUUUUAUAUGCUCUCAAAUUUGGAAGUGAUUGGUUCUGAGCAUGUGCAGGACACAGUGAUUUAAAGUUAUUAGAACCCCUCCGAUUUAUCAUAAGUGUUUUAGCUUGAGAGAAAUGGGGGAACCUGGACUUUGGCAGUUAAAAGUGAUUUAAUAUUGUCAUUACACUCAGAUGUUCUGCAGGUGAUCAGAAUUCUGGACACUUGUGUACAUUUUAAAAAUCACUGUUAAAAUGAUGCAUUUUUUAGAUCCAAAAGAUGUUAUUAGCCUGCAAGAAGAAGCAUUUAAAUAAACCACUUAAAAUGCACCAUAACACAAUUUUACUUUUAUUGCUACAGUCCCCACUGAUGACCUGAAUGUGAUCAUGAUUUCAAAGCCAAAUGCUUGAAUUUGGCAAAGAAUGGAAGUGUUGUCUUCUAGACCAAGCAUGAAAAAAUAAAUACUCGGUAAAAACA